GUAGGUGGCAAGCGUUGUCCGGGAAUUAUUGGGGCGUGAAGCGCGCGCAGGUGGUUCUUUAAGUCUGAUGUGAAAGCCCCCGGGCUCAACCGGGGAGGGUCAUUGGAAACUGGGGAACUUGAGUGCAGGAGAGGAAAGUGGAAUUCCACGUGUAGCGGUGAAAUGCGUAGAUAUGUGGAGGAACACCAGUGGCGAAGGCGACUUUCUGGCCUGUAACUGACACUGAGGCGCGAAAGCGUGGGGAGCAAACAGGAUUAGAUACCCUGGUAGUCCACGCCGUAAACGAUGAGUGCUAAGUGUUGGGGGGUUUCCGCCCCUCAGUGCUGCAGCUAACGCAUUAAGCACUCCGCCUGGGGAGUACGGUCGCAAAGACUG
rnacentral:rRNA from 1 species